rnacentral:rRNA from 1 species
UACGGAGGGUGCAAGCGUUAUCCGGAUUCACUGGGUUUAAAGGGUGCGUAGGCGGGCAGGUAAGUCCGUGGUGAAAUCUCUGAGCUCAACUCAGAAACUGCCAUGGAUACUAUUUGUCUUGAAUAUUGUGGAGGUCAGCGGAAUAUGUCAUGUAGCGGUGAAAUGCUUAGAUAUGACAUAGAACACCAAUUGCGAAGGCAGCUGGCUACACAGUUAUUGACGCUGAGGCACGAAAGCGUGGGGAUCAAACAGG